rnacentral:lncRNA from 1 species
UAUGAGGGGGAGGACAGGGGUAAGGGAGACAGGGAGAAAGGGGGUAGGAGAAAGGAGAAAGGGGGUGGGAGAAAGGAGAAAGGGGGUAGGAGAAAGGAGAGGAAGGCUGGGAGAAAGGAGAAAAAGUUGGAGAAAGGAAAAAAAAUAAAAUAUCUCUCCUUUUAAAAAAAUUUCUAAUAUUUCAAGAAAAAAUAUCUCAAAAGGAGAUAUUUUAUUCUAAUGGGAGAAAGGAGAACGGGGGUAGGAGAAAGGAGAAGAGGGGUGGGAGAAGGGAGAAGGGUACCCCCCUGUCCUCCCCCUC